rnacentral:rRNA from 1 species
AUUGAACGCUGGCGGCGUGCUUAACACAUGCAAGUCGAACGCGAAAGGGGCUUCGGCCCUAAGUAAAGUGGCGCACGGGUGAGUAACACGUGGAUAAUCUGCCCUUAUGAUCGGGCUAACAGUCGGAAACGGCUGCUGAUACCGGAUACGCUCAAUAUGAACUUUUUGGGGAAAGGUGACCACUGCUUGCAAGUUACCGCAUGAGGAUGCGUCGGUGUCCCAUUAGCUUGUUGGUGGGGUAAUGGCCUACCAAGGCAACGAUGGGUAGCCGAUUUGAGAGGAUGAUCGGCCACACUGGGACUGAAACACGGCCCAGACUCCGACGGGAGGCAGCAGUGGGGAAUAUUGCGCAAUGGGCGAAAGCCUGACGCAGAGACGCCGCGUGAGGGAUGAAGGUUUUCGGAUCGUAAACCUCUGUCAGAAGGGAAGAAACCGCACUGUGCUAAUCAGCAGUGCCUUGACGGUACCUUCAAAGGAAGCACCGGCUAACUCCGUGCCAGCCGCCGCCGUAA